rnacentral:rRNA from 1 species
AGCGAACGCUGGCGGCAGGCUUAACACAUGCAUGUCGAGCGGGCACUUCGGUGUCAGCGGCAGACGGGUGAGUAACACGUGGGAACGUACCCUUUGGUUCGGAAUAACGCUGGGAAACUAGCGCUAAUACCGGAUACGCCCUUUUGGGGAAAGGCUUGCUGCCGAAGGAUCGGCCCGCGUCUGAUUAGCUAGUUGGUGGGGUAAUUGCCUACCAAGGCGACGAUCAGUAGCUGGUCUGAGAGGAUGAUCAGCCACACUGGGACUGAGACACGGCCCAGACUCCUACGGGAGGCAGCAGUGGGGAAUAUUGGACAAUGGGCGCAAGCCUGAUCCAGCCAUGCCGCGUGAGUGAUGAAGGCCUUAGGGUUGUAAAGCUCUUUUGUCCGGGACGAUAAUGACGGUACCGGAAGAAUAAGCCCCGGCUAACUUCGUG